AGUAUCAAGCUCAGCCUGGAAUGUCAGUAUGGAUAUCUAAAAUUUUAUUCAAAUCCGAAUCCGAACCGAACGAAUUUAUACGAUACUAAAUAGAUAUAGUUUCGAAUAAGAAUAUCAAAAUUAAAAAAUAUAAAUUUUGACUGUUCGGGAUCCGAACCCGAACUCAAAUUAAUUUUACAUUAUAUAUAUAUAGUAUCACGCUAUAGUGCUCUUAGAAGUACAAAGUAUUUGGUAUUUGUAAGUUUUUCACAAUUAAAUUUAUUCUCUCCAUCAAUUUCACCUUUUAAAUUUAUUCCUUUGAUCCAUUUCACCCCUAGAUUAUGCUAUUCCACCGUUCACCCACUCAAAUCUUCGGACCAUUAUUAUCCUAAUCCUACAAAUCUUCAUCCAAAAGCUGAAAACCUAUGAGUACCAACGACCUGAUGCUUUUAAAAGAAUAGAAACUUAAUUUUAUAUAUAUAAAUAUUUAAUGUUAUAUUUGAAUUUAUAUUUUAAAAAAUUAAAUUAAAUCUAAUAUGUUUUGAAAUAUUGUAAAGAGAAUUAAUUGUUUUGGAUUGGGGUUUUCAGGUCCGCAUUUCGGUUUCAAAUUUUUGGUUGAGUUUGGGUUUGGAUAUGAAUUUUAAAAUCCAUAUGAAUUCAGGUUUCGAGUUUAAUAGUUAGGUUCUGGUUCAAUUUUUUUGAAACUUCGCUUUGAAUUUGACCCGUUGGCAUCAAUUGGGACUAAAGUAUAUAUAUACAUAUAUUUUUCUGCGGGAGCGUAGAGAGAAUUGGCUGGUCUGUUUUACCGACAGUGAAGUUUAAAUUUUAGCAAAUUUUCACAUGAAAAUUAUUUUUCUUCCGCUAUUUAUUUGUAUAGUUGUAGAACUGAAAUUCCUUCAGUUCUGUUUUUUAUGUGACAGAAAAUGAAUAACCUAAAAAGAUAAAGGUGUAGUAAAAUGAGCUUUUUUUUUUUUUUUUUCGUAAUUGACUUCAGAGAGUUAAUUUGAGUUUUGACCGACAAUGAACCAAACAAUGAAA
rnacentral:lncRNA from 1 species